rnacentral:rRNA from 1 species
CCGCUAUACGUCACACCCGUUACUAGUCAAGCUAUCGAUACUGCGUACCGUCGCCAGGCGGUUGUUAGACCAUUGAAUCCCGGGUCCACCUGGAACUGCACUUGUGACUGGCAGCUAGAGUAUGCGAAGGGGUAGAUUCACCUGUUAGCAAGUGAAAUGCUAGAGAUGUGAGGAAUAACCGAUGCGGAGGCAGCCCCCCUGGCCAAUAUUGACGCUUCAUGCACGGAAACGUGGGGAGCAAACAAGAUUAGAUAACCUUGUAGUUCCACGCCCUAAACGAAUUCAACUAGUUGUUUGGGAAUCAUUUCCUUAGUUAACGUAGCUAAAGCGUGAAGUUGACCGCCUUGGGAGUACGGUCGCAAGAUUAAAACUCCAAAGAAAUUGACGGGGACCCGCACCAAGCGGUGGAUGAUGUGGAUUAAUUCGAUGCAACGCGAAAAAACCUUACCUACCCUUGACAUGGUUCGGAAUCCUGCUGAGGAGGCGGGAAAAACUCGAAAGAGAACCGGCGCCCCAGGUGCUGCAUGGCUGUCGUCAGCUCGUGUCGUGAGAAUGUUGGGUUAAGUCCCGCAACGAGCGCAACCCUUGUCCUUAGUUGCUACGCAAGAGCACUCUAAGGAGACUGCCGGUGACAAACCGGAGGAAGGUGGGGAUGACGUCAAGUCCUCAUGGCCCUUAUGGGUAGGGCUUCACACGUCAUACAAUGGUCGGAACAGAGGGUUGCCAACCCGCGAGGGGGAGCUAAUCCCAGAAAACCGAUCGUAGUCCGGAUUGCACUCUGCAACUCGAGUGCAUGAAGCUGGAAUCGCUAGUAAUCGCGGAUCAGCAUGCCGCGGUGAAUACGUUCCCGGGUCUUGUACACACCGCCCGUCACACCAUGGGAGUGGGUUUUACCAGAAGUGGCUAGUCUGAGAGCAGAU